UACCAGCUCUCCGAGUGGUGUGGAUGUUUAUUGGGCCUAAAGCAUCCGUAGCUGGCUGGGCAAGUCCCCUGUUAAAUCCACCGAUUUAAUCGUUGGUGUGCGGGGGAUACUGUUCGACUAGGGGACGGGAGAGGCCGACGGUAUUUUCGGGGUAGGGGUGAAAUCCUAUAAUCCCGGGAAGACCACCAGUGGCGAAGGCUGUCGGCUAGAACGCGCCCGACGGUGAGGGAUGAAAGCUGGGGGAGCGAACCGGAUUAGAUACCCGGGUAGUCCCAGCUGUAAACGAUGCAGGCUAGGUGUUUGGGCGGCCACGUGCCGCUCUAGUGCCGCAGAGAAGUCGUUAAGCCUGCCGCCUGGGGAGUACGGCCGCAAGGCUGAAACUUAAAGGAAUUGGCGGGGGAGCACCACAAGUGGUGAAGCUUGCGGUUU
rnacentral:rRNA from 1 species